CCCCUCUCUCUCCCGCUUUCUCUCUCGUCUCUACCAAGUGAGGGAACAGCAAGAAGACAGCCAUCUGCAAAGAAGAGGGCUGUCACCAGACACUAGCUCUGCUGGCAUCUUGGACUUCCCAGCCUCCAGAAUGGAAACCUGUGCCCCAGCACCUGUCUGCUUCUGUCAUGGGGUUGUACUCCAGGAACCAUCGUGCACCUGGCAGCCCUCUCACCCUGCAGGCAGCGAGCCCGGGGAGCCAUAAAGAACUUCUUUUAGAAUGGAUUCACUGACUGAAAUCACGCUUUGGGAGAAAGAUUAAGGAGCAGACCACUCAAUCGGUUCCUGGAGUAGUGAUCUGUAAGGGGUACUAAAAUAACACCACUGUGGCAGAUAGACCCUAGGGUGGCCCCAAUGUUCAAGUCUAUAGUCACUUCCCAUUGAAUGUGGGUGGGACCUGUCACUUGCCUCUAACCAAUAAAAUAUGGUCAAAAUCAUGAGAUGUCAUUCCUGCCAUUACGCUAUGUAUGUGUGCGUGUGAACAUUAAUACAAGAGAGACUCUCCAUUGUAG
rnacentral:lncRNA from 1 species